rnacentral:rRNA from 1 species
AUGAGAUUUCUUUCUGCGGAUAUGAAGGAUAGAAAUAUGCUAUUUGCUGCUAUUACAACGAAUCAACCAAUUCGUAGUAAGUGUUCCCGUCUUCCCGAUCUACAUGAUUUUUUCCCAACCAACAUCUCUCAGAACGUUGCUAUAACGCCAAACUUGGAUAUAACGCCAACGCCUGAGCGAAUUACCGGCGUCACAAUAGUUUUACAAAUAGAAGGGUAUUUGGACCAAAAUGAGUCCGAACAGGGAGCAGUCAAUUUAGCUAGAACAGUAUUGGGAGCCCGCCAUCGAAAUGGCGAAACUUGGCAGGGCAUACCCUAA